GAUGAACGCUGGCGGCGUGCCUAAUACAUGCAAGUCGAGCGAACAGACGAGGAGCUUGCUCCUCUGACGUUAGCGGCGGACGGGUGAGUAACACGUGGAUAACCUACCUAUAAGACUGGGAUAACUUCGGGAAACCGGAGCUAAUACCGGAUAAUAUAUUGAACCGCAUGGUUCAAUAGUGAAAGACGGUUUUGCUGUCACUUAUAGAUGGAUCCGCGCCGCAUUAGCUAGUUGGUAAGGUAACGGCUUACCAAGGCAACGAUGCGUAGCCGACCUGAGAGGGUGAUCGGACACAAUGGAACUGAGACACGGUCCAGACUCCUACGGGAGGCAGCAGUAGGGAAUCUUCCGCAAUGGGCGAAAGCCUGACGGAGCAACGCCGCGUGAGUGAUGAAGGUCUUCGGAUCGUAAAACUCUGUUAUUAGGGAAGAACAAAUGUGUAAGUAACUAUGCACGUCUUGACGGUACCUAAUCAGAAAGCCACGGCUAACUACGU
rnacentral:rRNA from 1 species